CAUCCCUGGCGUUGGCAGUCGCUUUGCAACAGCCGCGCUCUGGAUGGCCUGUUUCGAGCACAGCCUAGGCUCGGUGAGCCUACUGCCGUCGAAGUAACGUAGCGCCUGGUCCGGACGCCGCAGAUAGUCGCGUCUAGAACGCAGCGGAUGUGCGCCCACUACGCAGGCUGUCAGUUCUUGGAGAGCAGCAGCAGUGAAAGGCGCCAGGCACCUCGGGACACUUCCGUGAAAUUGGGCAAUCCGAGCUUUCUUCAGCGCCGUCUCUUGAACGCAUUCCAGGGCCUCCUUAAGCUGACGGAAGAGGGCGCUUCAAGGGUCCGCCUCCAAACCGGGCGUCGGAACGAAUACGGUGGUGACGUGAUGUCAAGUCUACUGUACAUGCGGCAGUGACUGCGCUGGCAUCGAUGUCCACAGUGUGCUCUUGGCCCCACAAUGAACCCAGCAAUCACAGUGGUACUUCUUUCAGUGACGAUUAUUCCAAGAGAAGGUAUAUGUCGAAAACUCAAUCUAACAGAAGAAGUGGAGAAAUAUGUUAAGAACUACCUCGGUGAAGUCUUUGUGGGAUUGAGCUUGACGGAUGAGCUUCCAGGCAACCCA